UACAGAGGGUGCAAGCGUUGUUCGGAAUUAUUGGGCGUAAAGCGCGCGCAGGCGGCUCGUCAAGCCUGACGUGAAAGCCCCCGGCUCAACCGGGGAGGGUCACGCGAUACUGAUCGACUCGAAGGCAGGAGAGGGAAGUGGAAUUCCCGGUGUAGUGGUGAAAUGCGUAGAUAUCGGGAGGAACACCAGUGGCGAAGGCGACUUCCUGGCCUGUUCUUGACGCUGAGGCGCGAAAGCUAGGGGAGCAAACGGG
rnacentral:rRNA from 1 species